rnacentral:misc_RNA from 1 species
GGAGAAUAGUGGCUAGAGAACUUGUGCAAAAGGAUAGUAAAGUCAAUUGGCGUGCUACUAUCGUUGAUUGGCCUGGUCUGGGUUUCUCUGAUAGACCAAAGAUGGAUUACAAUGCUGACGUUAUGGAGAAGUUCUUAGUGGACUUGAUCAAUGCUCCUAAUGGUCCAUUGAGCAGCUCAAAAGAUGACUUGGUGGUAUUUGGAGGUGGCCAUGCGGCU